rnacentral:rRNA from 1 species
AAGCAUAUCAAUAAGCGGAGGAAAAGAAACCAACAGGGAUUGCCCCAGUAACGGCGAGUGAAGCGGCAACAGCUCAAAUUUGAAAUCUGGCCCCUCGGGCCCGAGUUGUAAUUUGUAGAGGAUGCUUUUGGCAAGGUGCCGCCCGAGUUCCCUGGAACGGGACGCCACAGAGGGUGAGAGCCCCGUCUGGCUGGCCGCCGAGCCUCUGUAAAGCUCCUUCGACGAGUCGAGUAGUUUGGGAAUGCUGCUCAAAAUGGGAGGUAUAUGUCUUCUAAAGCUAAAUAUUGGCCAGAGACCGAUAGCGCACAAGUAGAGUGAUCGAAAGAUGAAAAGCACUUUGAAAAGAGGGUUAAACAGUACGUGAAAUUGUUGAAAGGGAAGCGCUCAUGACCAGACUUGGGCUUGGCGGAUCAUCCGGCGUUCUCGCCGGUGCACUUCGCCUCGCCCAGGCCAGCAUCAGUUCGCGCCGGGGGACAAAAGCUUCGGGAAUGUGGCUCCUCCGGGAGUGUUAUAGCCCGUUGCAUAAUACCCUGGUGCGGACUGAGGUCCGCGCAUCUGCAAGGAUGCUGGCGUAAUGGUCAUCAGCGACCCGUCUUGAAACACGGACCAAGGAGUCGUCUUCGUAUGCGAGUGUUCGGGUGUCAAACCCCUACGCGUAAUGAAAGUGAACGCAGGUGAGAGCUUCGGCGCAUCAUCGACCGAUCCUGAUGUUCUCGGAUGGAUUUGAGUAAGAGCAUACGGGGCCGGACCCGAAAGAAGGUGAACUAUGCCUGUAUAGGGUGAAGCCAAGUGGAACUCUGGUGGAGGCUCGCAGCGGUUCUGACGUGCAAAUCGAUCGUCAAAUAUGGGCAUGGGGGCGAAAGACUAAUCGA